UAGGAAAAAUGACUGGAAGACAAUUUUAAGCCGUCUCAUCAUCUCUUAAACUAAGCUGAGAAGAAAAUAAUAACAAUUCUUAACUUCUCAUCUUAUGAAAGCAUUAUAAGAGCUUAUACACACUCUCUCUCUCUCUCUCUCUCUCUCUCUCUCUCUUGGAUAUUUGGAUACGUCAAAGUAAUGAAACGAGUAUUAUUAUUAUUACUUGCUAACAUGUGUUACAUUUUCUUACAGCAUAUUUGAGAUGAUUUUUCUUCUACAACAACGUAAAACGCAAAACUUCUGGCUGUUCUUCAACCUCCGAAUCAAUUUGUGCUAAUGGAUUAGGUCAAGAUUAAAAUAAUCAGGACUGAGACUACGCUGUCAACAGAGAGAUUCUUUUAUCAAGAGGAUAGUUAUGGUGCAAAGCAAGCAGCAUUAUCUCACCGCGGUAAUGGAUAAAAAUUUAACGGCCACGUGGACUUAUUGAUUAACAGAUUCUAGUCUUUCUUCCUUUUGAUAUCUCGGAAAGAUCGGAAAAAACUGACAGCAAGUCUUUCAUUUAUCUUGUUUAAAGGGAAAGAUGUUCAUUGGUAAGCAGCAAUCCUUAAUAUAAUCCAUAUUGAAAUUUGAAAAACAAAAAAAAAAAAAAAAAAUCAUUCUUUAUAAACGCGCUCGAUUUUAUUGCACUUGGCUUCAAAAGUUAUCUAAAUGACGUGGCAAUCGUGGAGUUUUACUAUAUUGGUCGCGUUAUGGGGUCGAAUUGCUUCUCUAACGUAACGCAUUCUCCCCUUCAAGUCUUCUGCGACUGGCUGGCUAAUGGCCGCCAUUUUGAAUAUAAAAGAACACUGACUCCUAUCCGCAUGAAAGAGAAUCACCCCUGACGACUCACUAGUCGCGCGGCAGAGUUUUCAUUACAAGCGAGUUGCCAUUGUUGCCUAAUGGCACACGAGCUCUUUUUACAGGCAAUAACCGACGACCUCAAGAAGUAGGACAAUCUCCAAUAAAGGGAGUCCUCUCCGUGUGGUAUCGAAAUAGGAAGUGGAUAUGAGCUAUUUUGGCGUUAUUUGACAAGUGUCGAGGUCUAUCUACGAUCUCAUUGCUUAAUGGCCCCACGAAAUUGCAGGGUAACCCCAUGUUAUACAGCUCUGGGUGUUGUUUUACUAUACGCAGCCGGAACCACGUAUGCCGUCCAUUCAUACAUCGCUGAAGGCCAUCCGCCACAAUAUCACUUGUUCAGGAAGUAAUUCAUUCAAGGACGUCACCACACUUCACGCACACAACUAUGCCUUGACUCUCGUACCAUUAAAACUUGGGUAAGAUUGAUGUCCUCCGUGAUAGAGAAUUGAAUGGGAGAAGAAUUUGUCUUCUUUCCUCAGAAAAGAGAAUCCUCUUAGGCUUUCAGGUCGCCGCGUAACUGAGCCGCUUACUAUCGGAUGUAAUUUCUCUCUUUUUCGUCAUGC